rnacentral:tRNA from 2 species
GGAGAGAUGGCUGAGUGGCCGAUAGCGCCGGCUUGCUAAGCCGGUGUACUCCGCAAGGGGUACCGAGGGUUCGAAUCCCUCUCUCUCCGCCA